rnacentral:lncRNA from 1 species
AUGUAAAGAAAAAGAAAACAUAGAUACCCAAAGACAGUCCCUAAAUUAGAAUCUCUUUGCUGACUCUUAAUUUUCAAAAUAUGAAGGCACCUGAUUCUGCUUCUCCAUCUCCCCACUGCCAUCUGAAAAGCUUAAUGUGGAAAUAAAUAGUUAUUCUCUAAACAUUAAGCGAUACAAAAGAAACACACUUGAUAAUUAUAUUAUUCAUCAGACACUCAAAUUGUGAGGUGAAUUUUCUAUAAGAUAAUAGAAGCAGGGCUGGGAAGGAGAGAGACUUAGAAGGCAUGAAGCUACUCUUAAUUUUGUUAGCUUUAAUCCCAAUUAGCCGCCUGUAACAUUAUCAUGCUGCUUGUCCCUUGGAGAAAAUUCAUGGUACAAGGUGAAAUAAACUUUUGAAUUCCCUCAUGUUUCUAACUUUUCUUGUAGCAUUUCACUCAGAGACUUACAGGCCAGGAGAAGGAGAGGAGCCAUCUUGCCAAAGCCAGCGUCCGCUGUGUCCAUCCUGAGACAACCCCACCCAGUAAUCAUAGCUUCCUUUAAUCUUCCUCAAGCUGCCAGUGAUAAAAUCCUAUGAGACAAAAAUUGAACUGUGAAAUGAGAAAAACAAACAAACAAAACUCUAGUGAAAUAUAAAGUGUGACAUUUUGCCUAGCUAGAAAUUAAUGGGAACUUGAAAUCUGGAAAAGGAGAGAAGGGAGUAUUAUAAAAAAGUGCCGAUACAUUUUUUAGACUAUUUUCGAUUGCUGUAUGGAUCCAUGUGGUGUUAAAAACUAUGAAAAAAAUAGGCAACUGGGAUUUUAAAAGUUUCAACAGAUUCAGAGCCUGGCA